AUUGAACGCUGGCGGCAGGCCUAACACAUGCAAGUCGAGCGAGCGGAGGACGGGUGAGUAAUGUAUGGGGACUGCCCGAUAGCGGGGGAUAACUACUGGAAAAGGCAGAUAAUACCGCAUACUAUCGGAUAACCCAUAUGGGAUUAGCUAGGAGGUGCGGUAAUGGCUCACCUAGGCGACGAACCCUAGCGGGGCUGAGAGGAUGAUCAGCCACCCUGGGACUUGGACACGGCCCAGACUCCUACGGAGGCAGCAGUGGGGAAUAUUCCGCAAUGGGCGCAAGCCUGAUGCAGCCAUGCCGCGUGUAUGAAGAAGGCCCUAGGGUUGUAAAGUACUUUCAGUCGGGAGGCGUUACCGACAGAAGAAGCACCGGCUAACUCCGUGCCAGCCGCCGCGGUAAUAC
rnacentral:rRNA from 1 species